rnacentral:rRNA from 1 species
UACGGGGGGAGCAAGCGUUGUUCGGAUUUACUGGGCGUAAAGGGCGCGUAGGCGGUCGUGACAAGUCCCUUGUGAAAUCUCCGGGCUUAACUCGGAACGGUCAAGUGAUACUGUCGGACUAGAGUACAGAAGGGGCAACUGGAAUUCUCGGUGUAGCGGUGAAAUGCGUAGAUAUCGAGAGGAACACCUGCGGCGAAGGCGGGUUGCUGGGCUGAUACUGACGCUGAGGCGCGAAAGCCAGGGGAGCGAACGGG